rnacentral:lncRNA from 1 species
AGCCCUUUCAGUAUUGCUUUUAGAAUGGGUUUACUAUUGCUGUGCUCCUUUAGCUUUCGUUUGUUGGAGAAAUUCUUGAUUUCCCAUUCUAUUUUAAAUGGUAUUCUUACUGGAUAGAGUAUUCUAGGUUGCAUUUUUUUUUUUUUUUCAGCACUUGAAAUAUAUCUUGCCACUCCCUUCUGGCCUGUAGUGUUUCUGUAGAGAAAUUAGCUGAUAGCCUUAUGGGGGUUCCCUUAUAAUUAAUGCUUUGCUUUUCUCUUGCUGCCUUUAGGAUCCUCUCUUUAACUGUUGCCAUUUUUAUUAUAGUAUGUCUUGGUGUGGUCUAUUUGGGUUCAACUUAUUUGGGGCCCUCUGUGCUUCCUGUAUUUUGAUAUCAGUAUCCUUUAAAUUAGGCAAGUUUUCAGCCAUAAUUUCUUCAAAUAUAUUUUCAAUCCCCCCCCCCAUUUUUUUCUUUUUCCUUCUGGAGUUCCUAUUAUGCAUAGAUUGGCCCACUUUAUAUCAUCCUAUAGGUCUCUUAUAUUGCUUUCAUGUUAUUUCAUUUGGUUUUCUGUCUACUGUCCUGUUUGGGUGAUUUCCAUUAUUUUAUCUUCCACGUCACUAAUUCGUUCCUCUGCAUCAUUCAUUCUGGUCUUUAUUGCCUUUAGCUCAGUUUGUAUCUAUGCAAAUGAACUUUCUAGUCUUUCUUGGCUCCUCCUUAUAUUUUCUAGCUCCUUUCUGAGGGAAUCUGCAUUACUGUUCAUAUCCUCUCUUAAUACCUCAGUAUUUUCACUAUCUCCCUUUUGAAAUCAAAGUCUGUCAGACUACAGAGGUCUGUUUCAUUGCUGACUGUUUUAGGUGAAUUCUCCUGUUCCUUUAACUGGGAAUGGUUUCUGAGCUUCUUCAUUCUUAUGUUUUUCUUUUUCUGAGAAUUUGGGGAAACCAAACUGUAGUCUGGCACAGUCCAUGGUUGGGCUGGCAGGGCAGCUCCAUGCAGGCAGGGCAUGGUUGCUAGGAGCAUCGUGGCCAGAAGGAUGGCUCCACAUGGCCAGGGCAUGGGUGCAGGGAGUGUAGCAGGCCAGUGGGGCAGCUUCCCACUGGCAGGGGGGCCGGUCUGCAGCAGAUGGCAAGUGGCUUCCAGUCAUGGGUGGCGGGGGUACACUGGGAAUGCUCCACUUUCUGCAAUCCAGAGGGCAAACACACACACUAGGGGACAAGGAAUUUUCUAUGGGGGCUUGCCCCUCCUCCUCUACCCUUCCCAACAAUGGCUCCUUGUCGCCCCUGCAUGUCUGGACUUUCUCCUGUGUUCCCUCUGCUGUGGCUUUCCACUCCCCAGCCCUUAGUGUAGUGCUCCCCCCACCUGCAGCACACUGCUGCCUAGUCCCUUAGGCUGUUUCCACACAGCCAACCCCAGCCUACUCCCAUGGACUGACCUCUGGAGCCUAAGUCUCAGCCCCCAGCCCCCACAUGAGCAUCUCAGGCUGUGGGGUCUGUGUCAGUGGUUCAGAUGAUCUGUGCAUCUCUCACUCUGCUUUUUGGUUCUCAGACCUGCUGCUGCAUUUUUCUCAGUGUCUUGGAGAUCCCUCCAAUUCAGCUGAUCUUUCUGUUGGUUAGGUGGCUUCCCAGGGUGUGGGUUCCCUUUCUCCUUCACUGCUCCCUCACAGGAUGCUAGUCCCAUCCUGAUUCCUGUUCUCUCUCCCUCUUUUUUUCUUUUGUUCUACCCAGUUAUGUCGAGAGUUUCUUGCCCUUUUUGGAGGUUUAAGUUCUCCUGCAAGCAUUCAGUUGAUGUUCUGCAUGAGUUGUUUCACAUGUAGAGGUGUUUUUUUGAUGCAUUUGUGGGAGAGGGUGAGCACGUCCUCUUACUCUUCUGCCAUUUUGCCUCCACCUUACUAAGGAAAUUAAUCAACUAAAAUCCUACGGAGAAUGAAGUGGGGAGGAAAUAGAAAUGAACAAAUUUCAUCUUUUCUCACUGUUGGGAAUCAACAGAUUUGGUCUAAAGUUUCAAGGAAUAAAUGUAUUACAAAAAGUUACAGUCAUCUUAAUCAUAAUCACAACAGAAAUAUAAACCUUUCAUUUUAAAGAAACACACAAAAACACACCACAUCACACACACACAAGAUAGUAAGAAAAAAAUGCCAAAUAAUAAAAUAUUUAAAGUAGCAAUAACAACAUAAAAAAGCACAAUAUCAAAUAUAGAACAAAAUUAAGACCAAAAUCUGUUUUGUAAAUAAAUCAAAAUGGAUUGAACUAAUGUACAAUGAGAAAGGAAUCUGGUAAAAUUACAAAUAAAACCCAGAAAUAUGCUACCUACUAGAGACAUUUAUAAAAAAAAAAAUCUCAAAAAGUUUGUAAAUAAAAUAAGAAAAAAGUAUACCAAGAAAAUGUAAACAAUAAUAGCAAUAAAUUAGAAGUUGGGAAUCUUAAUUCAGAUGAUCUUGACUUUUAUCUUUGAUUUAAGCUUUAAAAUAUUCUGUGUGGUUUCUUAAAGUAUCACAUCAUGAAAAAGUUUGUAAUACAUAGUGAAAAUAAAUAAUUAUAAAAAUGCAUUUGGUCAGAAGAAUUUUAAGAUGUCCUCCAAUAUUCCUAUUUCUUAGUAUCUGUGGCUUGUAUAAAUCCCUCCUCUCAAGGCUGAGAAAUCAAGGGAGGAUACAGGCUGAAUCUCUAAAUGUGAUGAGAUAUGAUUGUGUUACACCACAUGGCAAAAGGGAUUUUACAGAUGUAAUUAGGAUACUAGAAGACUGGCUCCGAGUUUAUCAAAAGGAAGAUUAUGAAUGCUCCUGGUGUAAUCACAAGAUCCCUUUAAGCCUGGGUCCUGAUGUUGGAGAAAGAAGUCAGAUAUUCGUAGUGUGAGAAGGCCUGUGGUGGGGCCACAGUGCAAAGAACUGCAUAAAACUUCUAGAAGCUGAAAGUUGCCCUCAAACAGAGCCAGCAAGAGGACAGACUUCAGUUCUUCAGCCUCAGGGACCGAAUUCUGCCAACAACUUAAAUGACCCUGGAAGAAGAUCCUGAGCCUUCAAUAAGAGCACAGUUCACACAGGACACUUUGUUUCCAACCAUGUGAGACCCUAAGCACAGCCUGACCUUCCUGACCCACAGAAACAUCAAAAAAACAAAUGGGUGUUUUUCUUAUACAGCAAUCAAAAAUUAAUAUA